rnacentral:rRNA from 1 species
AUUGAACGCUGGCGGCAGGCUUAACACAUGCAAGUCGAGCGAGCGGCGGACGGGUGAGUAAUGUCUGGGAAACUGCCUGAUGGAGGGGGAUAACUACUGGAAACGGUAGCUAAUACCGCAUACCAUCAGAUGUGCCCAGAUGGGAUUAGCUAGUGGGUGGGGUAAUGGCUCACCUAGGCGACGAUCCCUAGCUGGUCUGAGAGGAUGACCAGCCACACUGGGACUGAGACAAGGUCCAGAAUCCUACGGGAGGCAGCAGUGGGGAAUAUUGGGCAAUGGGAGAAAGCCGGAUGGAGCCAUGCCGCGUGUGUGAAGAAGGCCUUCGGGUUGUAAAGCACUUUCAGCGGGGAGGCGGUACUCGCAGAAGAAGCACCGGCUAACUCCGUGCCAGCAGCCGCGGUAAUAC